rnacentral:lncRNA from 1 species
GCGCCAUUAACGGAAGUCCCUUCUGCGUUGGUAAACAUUUCUCCUUUUCUGAUCCUCUUUUACCUCAUCUGUUAUUUGGUUUUACAGCAUUUGCUUACUCGUCCAGAGCACAUAAAAUCACCCUCAAUAUUGGUGGCGUUCAUGUUGCUUAGUCUUUUGUUUUGUGUGUUUUGUUUUGUGAACUAUUGUUUGUCUGUUUGUAUUUUUCUUUUUUUGCCAUUGCAAUGUCAGAUUAUUUUCUAAUUAUGAGUUUCAAUAUCCGUUUGGUAUAACUGCCUCUUUUACUAGGAUAUUUGAAUUAAGAAACUAAAUCAAGUAAACUUAUUUUUAUCUUGCG